GAUGUAGCCUUAAAUGCAUGCUUUAAUUAGGAGUCUGUGAACAUGAGCGUAUAAAUAAAUCAGCUUUCUUUCUCUUGCAAUAAUCUUAUCAAUAUGUUUAAACAGCAAAACACAUUUUUUCUGAGAUAUAGCUAACUUCCAAGUUUGAUUGGCUAUAGUUGAUGAGCCGUAUUUAGAUCUUUCUUACUAUUAGUCAAGUUCUUAUGUCUGGUAUGUUUUCUUCAGAUAUGUUGUAGAGAAUUGUAUCAAGAAGCUUUCAUCAGUAACUGUUUAGGAGUGUUCGUGUAUCAGUUUCAUCUCUGAUUAAUUUGAAUCUGUUCGGAAAAUAUUUUGAAAAUAUCUUUGUAUUUCUCUUUCAAAAACAUUUGAAUCCACUUUGGUUAACAUUUAAUAUUAAUCUUUGUUCUUUCUCAUUAAAUUUAAUGUUAUUUUUUUUUUAACUUGCAAGUGAAUAUAUUGUUUGGGAUUUGGUAUGCAUAUUGUUAAGGAUGGCAAGUAUAAGCUCUACAACGUUAAUUUUUCAGUUCAUUUUUAAGUCCAGGAAAAGGUUCUACAAAUCAGUUAAUUACAUACUGGAUUCCUUACAUAUUAUAUAGCCUGCUUAAGAUGCUGAAAAAAAAGUUCUUAGCAAUGUCGUCUCCAUAGUGACUAUGAUUCUUGGAAUUUCCCUCAUGAGUUUGUCUUAUGCUUCCUUGAUUUUCUCUGUGGUGUGUUAGGUGUGAUGCAAAGAUGGUGAUGCGGAGUUUAAGAGGGAAGAAGAUGAUGUUCGUCAGUGAUUCCUGGAAACCGAAGAAUGUAUGUCUCCUUUUUUGUUUCUUAGUUCACAAAUCCCAGAAAGUUUAAAAUCCAAAGACAUGUUUGGUUCCUUCACCCUCUU
rnacentral:lncRNA from 1 species